GACGAACGCUGGCGGCGUGCUUAACACAUGCAAGUCGAACGAGGUCCAUGCAGUAGCAAUACUGCGGAAGACCUAGUGGCGAACGGGUGAGUAUCACGUGAGAAACCAACCCCGGUCUUUGGGAUAACAGUUGGAAACGACUGCUAAUACCGAAUGCCGUCGUUGCCUCGCAUGGGGCGAUGACGAAAGGGCUACCGGAUCGGGACGGUCUCGCGGCCUAUCAGCUUGUUGGGGAGGUAACGGCUCACCAAGGCUUCGACGGGUAGCUGGUCUGAGAGGAUGAUCAGCCACACUGGGACUGAGACACGGCCCAGACUCCUACGGGAGGCAGCAGUGGGGAAUAUUGCACAAUGGGCGAAAGCCUGAUGCAGCGACGCCGCGUGAGGGACGAAGGCCUUCGGGUUGUAAACCUCUUUCAGCAGGGAAGAAGCGAAAGUGACGGUACCUGCAGAAGAAGCACCGGCUAACUACGUGC
rnacentral:rRNA from 1 species